UACGAAGGGGGCUAGCGUUGCUCGGAAUCACUGGGCGUAAAGCGCACGUAGGCGGAUCUUUAAGUCAGAGGUGAAAUCCCAAGGCUCAACCUUGGAACUGCCUUUGAUACUGGGGAUCUUGAGUCCGGGAGAGGUGAGUGGAACUGCGAGUGUAGAGGUGAAAUUCGUAGAUAUUCGCAAGAACACCAGUGGCGAAGGCGGCUCACUGGCCCGAUACUGACGCUGAGGCACGAAAGCGUGGGGAGCAAACAGG
rnacentral:rRNA from 1 species